UACAGAGGUGGCAAGCGUUGUCCGGAAUUAUUGGGCGUAAAGAGCUCGUAGGCGGCCUGUCGCGUCGGCUGUGAAAACUCAGGGCUCAACCCUGAGCCUGCAGUCGAUACGGGCAGGCUAGAGUCCGGCAGGGGAGACUGGAAUUCCUGGUGUAGCGGUGAAAUGCGCAGAUAUCAGGAGGAACACCGGUGGCGAAGGCGGGUCUCUGGGCCGGAACUGACGCUGAGGAGCGAAAGCGUGGGGAGCGAACAGG
rnacentral:rRNA from 1 species